rnacentral:lncRNA from 1 species
ACAAAAAACCCCACGAGAGACGCCUGGGAAUGGGGGAAGGGUUGGCGGCUUGUCUUCUUCACAAAAACACACACACACACGAUAAUAUACAGAGACGCUGGAAAUUGGGGAGGGCUAUGCAACUCUUGAACACACACAAUAUAAUAGAAAACACACAAUACAUAUACCAACCUGUAAGAAGAAUUUUGCUGCUUCUGGAGGAAGUUUGAACAGAUGCACACCUAUAUACACAAUACAUAUACACACGCAGAACACACAGUACAAAGGGAAGGGACUCCUGGAGGAUGGAGGCUCCACAUAUUUACUUCUUCUAAACAACUGCACACCUAUACACACAAUACACAUUACACAACAUAGAAUACAAUGCACACAUGCUUAUACACAGGAGAGGGAGAGGCUUGAAAGCCAAUUUUCAUUCGCACACACACAUACAAAGAGUUUAAAAUAAUAUUUUCUUGUUUCAAUGUUCAUUCAUGGAUUUUGUGUAGAGCUCUGUUGGUUUAGCCCGGUUCACCUAUGUUAUCGAGGACGAGGUUCAUGGUUUCGCGUCCGAUUUGCUGUCGUCUUUGUUCAGAUUGUCGCCAUUUGAGGCGAAGCUCAUCAUUUGGUUCAAGGUUCUCUUCUUCGUCCAUUUCUUUUGUUCCUCUUAUGUGAUAAAUCGAUGCUUCAGUUGUGAUAUAAGUUUAAUGUGAAUUUGGAAUUUAUGCUUAGCUGAUUCUGUACAUCUAAUCCUCUGUAGUAUUUUUUUGAUUUUCGAGAAUUAUGAGAUGAAAUAUCGUCAUGAAUCAUUAUCCAGUUGUUCGGAUCAUAUGCAGUUAAAACAUAU